rnacentral:rRNA from 1 species
GAUGAACGCUGGCGGCGUGCCUAAUACAUGCAAGUCGAGCGAACAGACGAGGAGCUUGCUCCUCUGACGUUAGCGGCGGACGGGUGAGUAACACGUGUAUAACCUACCUAUAAGACUGGGAUAACUUCGGGAAACCGGAGCUAAUACCGGAUAAUAUAUUGAACCGCAGGGGUCAAUAGUGAAAGACGGUUUUGCGGGCACUUAUAGCUGGAUCCGCGCCGCAUUAGCUGGUUGGUAAGGUAACGGCUUACCAAGGCAACUAUGCGUAGCCGACGUGAGAGGGGGAUAGCCGACCCUGGAGGUGAGCCACGCUCCAGGCGCCUACGGUAGGCCGCAGUCGCGAAUCUUACGCAGUGGGCGGAAGCCUGGCGCAGCAACGCCACGCCAGUGAUGACGGUCUUCGGAUCGUAAAGCCCUGUUACUAGGGAAGAACAACUGUGUAAGUAACUGUGCACGUCUUGACGGUAACUAAUAAGAAAGCCCCGGCUAACUACGUG